UAUUAAUGAAAGAUUAUUUCUUUGGCGCUCGGACCCCGGAAGAAGACGUAAUCGCUGAGGAUGAAGUGGGUUUGAAUAAACAUCUUAGGAUUAUGAUUAGGUACAUCUUCCCCCAAAAGGAGCAAGGCCGGGCUGAGGCUGAACUGAAGGAAAAGGAAAUUAGUUAUGAAUGAUCUGAGAGGAGCGGGGAGUGAAAACUCAGACCAAAAGAGUUUUAAUGGAUUAGGCCCGAAUGGGCUUACCUGAGUUAUGCCUGAAGAGGCGUGGAUGGCUGGUGACAGGUCAGACGAAGAUGGGGCUGCAUCUGACCGGGCUUCAAGGCAGCUAGAUGAGUGCCUGACAAGGCGUAGGACUGAGAUGCCUGCCAAGGCAUGUUCAGAAACGCCUGCCAAUGGCGUGAGAAAGCCUGACAAGGCUGAAUGAAGUGCCUUCCUAGGCAUGUUUGAAAACGCCUGCCAAUGGCGUGAGUGAGCCUGACAAGGAUGAAUGAAACGCCUGUCAAUGGCGUGAGUGAGCCUGACAAGGCUGAAUGAAAUGCCUGCCUAGGCAUGUUUGAAAAUGCCUUGCCAAUGGCGUGAGUGAGCCUGACAAGGCUGAAUGAAACGCCUGCGAAUGGCGUAGAUAGUGAUGAGCCUGACGAGGCUGGAUUGAGAUGCCUGCCAAGGCAUAGUUCGAUAAGCUUGCCAAUAGCAUAGAUGGAGAUGAGCCUGAAAAGGCUGAAUGAGGAGCAUGUCGAGGGUUGGUUGGAUAUGCCUGCCUGUGGCGAAGAUCCAGUGCGUCUGAAAGAAAGAAAGCUAAGAAAUGGAAACUGUCUAGAAAACGUGGCAAUUGAAUUGGAAUGAGAGAAUAAAAUAUUUAGGUUUAAGUGGUUAGAUGUGAGAACCACGAAUAAUGAAGAAAUUUUAAUUUUUAAUUUUAAUUUAAUGAUUGAUCUAGAUAGAGGAAAGGAUUGGAUAAGGCCGACCACCACUAGUAAAUGUGAUAGUUCUUACCUAAGAACUGAUAUAUCGUUGCGCAGAUGAGACAGAUUGGAGGUCAGGGCGGAUGUAUGAAGAGAAUGCUGCGGAGGACCAGCGGCCGAGUUGUUGGAGUGAAGCUGUCGAAACUCCUUGUGAGGCGGCUGUAGUGGCUGCCCUGAUACGAAAUGAGUGACCUGAGAACUGACUUGGGGGAAGAUUGCUUUGAAUUAAAAUUAGUCUAAGAUGGUUGAGAAACCAAGAAGUACUCAUGGGAACUCCUUCAGGAGUAAGGAAGAGGGGCAAGCAGGUUGGAAAGAGUUUGUGGCGGUUGAUGGCGAAUUUAAACAUGGCAUGAAAAGGGCAGAAUGGACCGUUUAAACGAGCAAUGAAGAUGAAGCAAGGACCUUUUCCUUUGGAAGGUUUAAGAUAAAUUUUAAAAUGAUCGAGAUAGAACUUAAGAUCAGAAAUUAUUAGGUCUCUAGCAGGAUCGAAUGAGCUUGAUGGGGUAGUAAAUUCCCCUAUUCUGAGGAAGCCAUAAAAAGCUAAAAGCCAGGCGCUGGAGAGAAGAAAUUUUAGGUAGGAUGAAAAGGGGCCUGAACGGAGAACUAAGAGGAGAUCUUUUAAAAUGGAAAGAGUGAUAGGUCUCCUGGAAUCUGGCCGAGGAAUGCUCUGAUUUUUUAGACCUUUGAGUAAAAGUGUGAUGGAAUGAUUUGAGAAACGUCUUGGAGUGGGUUUGAAGAAAUGGCCUUUUGAAAAGAAAUUUAUGCCAGCUAAAAACUCUUGAUGCAAGGGAGUUUGAAAUGCCGGACAUCAAAGCAAUAAGUAAUAAAUGCUAAUAUGGUAGGAAUGCGGACGGGGUAAAGAGGAGUAUUAAUACGAGGCAAAAUUUUGAAAAAUUUUGCCAAGAAAAGGAAUAAGACCUGAGAGUGGAGGGAGCUAAGCCUGAAUUACAAUAAUAAUUGGCUGAUUGGAGUAAAGGAAUGAGGGAUGAGUUUAGUCGAGUAUCAAGUCUUUGAGAGGUGGUAUCUGUGUUGGAUGAACAUAGACUGAAGGGCAGAGACGACGGAAGACUUGGAAUUUUGAACAAGAAAGAGCAUCAGUAACUGAGUUAUGAUGACCGGGAAUAUGGUGGGCAGUAAUGAUAAAAUUGUGAGUCACGGCUUGUCAGGUGAUGCGGCGCAUGAAGUGCAUGAUGGACUUAGAAGUGGAGCGGCCUUUAUUAAUUACUUCGACUAUGGCUCCAUUGUCGCAUAAAGCGGCUAUGCAUUUUCUUUUUCAUUGGUUGCCCCAGACGCACCAAGCAAUAUUGAUGGGGAUUAUUACGUAAAAGGCUGAUGAUUCGGAUUGGGGAAAAGAAGGUGGCCAGAUGCCAGCGAACCAUGCACCCUGAGGAAAUCCCCCAAAACCCACGGACGGAGCUGCGUCCGUGAAAAACUGAAUGGAAUCUGCUGAGGUGACGACGUCAUCAUAAAAGAAAGAGAUACCGUUCCAGUUCUCCAGGAAAGAGGACCAGAAAGACAGGUCAGAGCGGCAUCCUUCAUCUAAAGAAACCGAAUUGACCAGAGAGGGGACGGAAUUAGCUAGAUCCAGAAGGCGAGAAAUAAAGGAGUGACCUUGGGGAAUUAUGCACAUUGUGAAAUUCAGAUGACCCAAAAGGGAUUGGAGUUGACGCUUGGAGAUGACUGGGGAGGAGAGAAAGGACUGAGAAACUUUGCGAAUGCAGGACAGCUUAUCUUCUGGCAGAGAAGCUACCAUAGCAUCUGAAUCUAGGGAGAUGCCUAGGAACUUGAGCUUCUUGACUGGAGCUGCUGUUGUCUCUUCAGACAGGGGAACACCAACUUGCUGAAAUAACUGGAUCAGCUUAGGGAGAGAGGGGCUGGGGUAAGGGAAGGGGGGAUCGAUAAGAAGAAAGUCAUCUAGCAGAUGGAGAACGAAAGGGAGUUUGCAAACAUUUAGGAGAAUCCAACAGAGAGCCUCAGACAGCUUGUUGAAGAGGCAGGGGGUACUCCUGCAGCCGAAAGUGAGCCUGACUGCAAAAAAGAAACGGCAGUCCCAUUUGACGCCGAGGAGGUGCCAUUGAGAAGGGUGCACCGGCAUGAUUUUAAUGUAAUGUAAUGUCUGCUUUAGCAAUCCAGGCUCCACGCCCCACAGUUUUAAUAAGCGAUAUGGUGUGAUCUACCGUAGCAUAAUACAAGGAAAAUGGGGGCUUGGGAAUAUAAUUAAUACUGAAAUGAGGACUGGAGUGAGGAGCUGAAAGAUCGAUAAGGCGCUUUUUUCCUGAAUACUUUCUGGUAGCCACUCCUAAGGGGCUAAUAUGGAAGAAAGGGAAAGGAGGGGAUUUAAAAGGACCUAUCAUAUAGCCUUUGGAUAUCUCCUUUUUAAGAAGCUGAGCUGCAACUUUUGACUCACAGAGAGCUGACUGCAGGGUUGCGCAAAUGAAUGAGGAAGUGGGGAGGAGAGGGACGCCAAUGAAAAUACUUUGGGAGAGACCAGUGAUAAGGAAAUUGACAAAAGGACGGUCUGGGUGGGACUGAAGAAGGGCAGCUAGUUCGGGAAUAAUGACAGGAGUGGAAAGGUAACAAAAAAUUAACGCCUGGAACCACGACGAGUCCUGCUGAGGGAUAAACGGCAGGGACAAACGGACUUUGGGUGGAAGAAAAGAGCACAAUUGGAACAAACAAACACCUUUCUGAAAGUUAUUGCAAAUAGAAGAAUUAUUGAAAACCUGUCUUGCUGCGGCAUUUUCCCAAGGAAGGAGGCGGAGGAGGUGGAAGUGGAGGGGAGUCAUGGGAUAGAAAAUCAGCGAGCUGAGAAGCGUCUUGGUCGGAUCCGGGAUUUAUUCCACUCGCCCUGAGCUGGGAGGAAGGAGAGGGAGUAACGAGCUGUGAAGCUAGACGAGAGCUUCUUCUAGCAGAAGCAGCGGCAGGAGGGCAAGGACCCAAUAUGAGAUCUUGCGAAAAACCAGCAGGAUCAUCAGAUUCAUAAUCGGACAUGCUGAUCGAAGCUCAGCAGAAAAGCAGUGUCUUCCAUGCAGAAGGUCUUUAAAAGUGAUGCCCUUCGAGAUGAUUGGCUGAGGAGAAGUGCUGGCCUGCCAGUGAGGAGUGAUUGGACGUGGCGGAAUGGACCAGGCCCGGAUCAGGCAUGUCAUCACCCAAGUAGACGUGUGUGCCUCGGCACAGUAAAGCAAGGAGAACAUGAUUAAGAGAAGCAGCCAGGAGACCCAUCGUAACUCUGGAGUAGCCGCAGAAUCCAUGGCUCAGAAGCUACACCUGGCCUGGCUCUGUGUCU